rnacentral:rRNA from 1 species
UACGAAGGGGACUAGCGUUGUUCGGAAUUACUGGGCGUAAAGCGCACGUAGGCGGAUUUGUUAGUCAGGGGUGAAAUCCCGGGGCUCAACCUCGGAACUGCCUUUGAUACUGCAAGUCUCGAGUCCGAUAGAGGUGGGUGGAAUUCCUAGUGUAGAGGUGAAAUUCGUAGAUAUUAGGAAGAACACCGGUGGCGAAGGCGGCCCACUGGAUCGGUACUGACGCUGAGAGCGAAAGCGUGGGGGAGCAAACAGGUUGAAGAAACC